UACAGAGGUCUCAAGCGUUUGUUCGGAUUCAUUGGGCGUAAAGGGUGCGUAGGCGGCGCGGUAAGUCGGAUGUGAAAUCUCGGAGCUUAACUCCGAAACUGCAUUCGAUACUGCCGUGCUUGAGGACUUGGAGAGGAGACUGGAAUUUACGGUGUAGCGGUGAAAUGCGUAGAUAUCGUAAGGAAGACCAGUGGCGAAGGCGGGUCUCUGGACAGUUCCUGACGCUGAGGCACGAAGGCCAGGGGAGCAAACGGG
rnacentral:rRNA from 1 species